GAGCCACCAACCCUCCGUCCUCGAGCCCCACGUCCCCUCCUCCAAUGCUCUCCACCACCACCGUGCCUCUUCCUCUCCCUCGCCCCUCUCCUCCCCCGCUCUCAAAAUCCCAAGGCAUGGUCGCUGCCACCUCUCCAUCUCUCUUCCCGCAGGACAACACCCCCACGUUCUUUCUUCUCUCCUGCUUGGAGUUGCUGUUCCAGAUCCGGCGCAGGUCGCCGCCAUGUGAGAGCAGGGGGAUAUGGUGUUCAUGAUGGGCAUGGAGGAGCACAACGGGACGGCGAUAGGGGGAGGGAGCAGUGAAGCCAGGGCUCUAGGCGGAGCUCGCGUCACGCUGGCCAUCACUUCCGACAUCGUCACCAAUCUAGAUUUGAGAUACAAGUGAGGAACUUUUCUAAGCUUUUGUAUGUUCCGUCUACAUCACAAGCGGUCUUCCGAUUGCGUCGAGUGCAUCACAAAGGCGCAGGGGGAAAAUGGAAGAAUCAGCCAAAAUCUGACAAGAUGCAAAGGCACAUAUCGAGUGUGGGCAUACGUCAAGCUGUCGCUUGAGGCUGCCAUCAUGCUCUGCUGCAAAAUUUGUAUCUCUUCAUGAUCACUGUCCUCACCAGCAUUGUCCAGGAUCCGCAGAUUGAUUGUCAACUCGCUUGACAAUCAAUAUCAUAGGGAAAUGAUUUCACGAAACAAAUGAUUUCACGAACCAGAUAUCAUAGGGAAAUCAACAAAGAAGGUAAAUUUACACAAAGAGAAGAAUAUUGUUUAUUACUUUAUUUUCUCCUACUGAUUUAUCCUUUUAAACCACCUUUGUUCAUGACCUAAAUAUGCAUGGAAGAGGAUCAUUUUAGCCGAUGGGAAACACAUUAUCAAUGGUACAAAACUACCUACCCCCCGAAUUUAUAUCACAUGUUAACAUGGAUUGCUCGUUACAUUCAAUAGGUAUCCGUGGUCACUGAUGGGGCAAGUGGCCAAGGUGAGAUUUGGAAGGACGGUUCCACAAAUGAACUUAAUUGACAAGCUCACUGGCAGGUCAUAGCUAACAUCAUCAAGCAUCAACAGCAAGCAGCAAGCAGCCAGCAGCAAAGAAGAGACAGGAGCAAAGCAGCCAGUAGCAAAGAAGGGACAGAAGCAAAGCAGCCAGUGGCAGCAAACAACAAACAACAUCAGCAGCAAGCAACAUGCAGAGGCGAUUUCUCACCAUGUUGUAAGUGGCAAGGUCGGACGGAGCAGAGCAACGAGCUCGGACAGUGACAAUGACGGUCAACGUCAGGGAAGAAGUAGGAGGGACCCGCGGCUUCGAGUCCAUGGUCCAGAGGAGAUGCGGACAACACGGAGCCCGUCACGGUCCCUGGAGCUGUUCGGUGAGGAGGAUGACCGCGGCGCCGCAGUGGCGGCCGACGGAACCGACAAAGACGGCCUCGGUCCAAGAGGCUGCUGCACGUCAGUGCCCGAAUCACCAUUAAAGGAACAACAGGAGUAACAAUGGAGCUAGGGGAACUACCUAGGAGAAGGAACGCACCGGAAAACAAGGUAGUUCACGGCGGCGUCCAGCGGGUGUGCAUGUCGGAGCCGGAGGCAUGGAUGUUGAUCCGGACUGAGGGCUAGCGUAUCCCGCCGAUUCCUGCGGCUGGUGUUGCAAUGGCGACCGGUGCCCCCAGCGAGCUAGACGAGAAAGGGGAUCCAGGAGAAGAGCAAAUGAAGUGACGGUAGUGGGCUGUAGUAAGAGAUAAUGUGAAGGGGCAUGGGUUCACGGGCGCGUGUGGCGUGUCCCUGCGAGAUGGUGUUAAGGCGAUUUUGUCCUGACCUGGAAGACCCACUGCUAAGUGGCAAAGGUCUGGAAGAAAAUAAAAACAAAUGAAAUUGGCUGGAAUAUCUAUUCCUGCUUUACUCCUUCA